GAUAAUGUAAUAUUAUAAUCCAAGUGGGUUUCGGAAAGAAUUGAGAGUAGGGAAAACCUAUAUAAAAGGAACCUCUUUCAGAUUUCAGGAACACAAUUCCCUCAAACAAACACACAAAUCUUUGCUUCUGUCGCAAUUUCAUGACGCUCUCGUGUUCCCUGCUGUAUACGUGCUUUUGAAGAAUCAGCGCUUUGAUUCAAUUCCAUCCCGCGGUUUCUGUCUAUAAAUUUGAAUUGGUUAUUUUUCGUGCUGGGUUCAAAUUGAAACCCUAGUGCCCACUGAAGCCUGUUGAAGAAUCCUGAGUGCGUCUAGAGAAUUAGCAUGAUACAAUUCUGUUUGGUGUUAUUUUGGUACAACUCUGUAUCGAUUCUGUUUGUAUUUCAAUAUUUUCAACUAGCCCUAUUUUAUUCUUGAUAAUAGGGCCUCGUUGUUAUUAUUGUUCUUGAUUUAUUUUUCUAUGAAAAAUAAUUCA
rnacentral:lncRNA from 1 species